AAAGGAAUUGACGGGACCCGCACAAGCAGCGGAGCGUGUGGUUUAAUUCGUUGCUACACGAAGAACCUUACCUGGGUUUGACAUAUAGGUUGUAGGGAACUGAAAAGGGACCGACCCUUCGGGGGGCCUAUACAGGUGUUGCAUGGCUGUCGUCAGCUCGUGUCGUGAGAUGUUCGGUUAAGUCCGCUAACGAGCGCAACCCUCGUCGUAUGUUAUAUGUGUCAUACGAGACUGCCGGUAAAAGCCGGAGGAAGGUGAGGAUGAUGUCAAGUCAGCAUGACCUUUAUAUCCAGGGCUACACACACGCUACAAUGGUCUGUACAAUGGGUAGCCAAGCCGCGAGGCGGAGCCAAUCCUGAAAGCAGGCCUCAGUUCAGAUUGCAGUCUGCAACUCGACUGCAUGAAGCCGGAGUUGCUAGUAACCGCAGGUCAGCAAUACUGCGGUGAAUACGUUCCCGGGGCUU
rnacentral:rRNA from 1 species